GUGGAUUAGAUACCCUGGUAGUCCACGCCCUAAACGAUGUCAACUAGAUGUUGGAAGGGUUAAACCUUUUAGUGUCGUAGCUAACGCGUGAAGUUGACCGCCUGGGGAGUACGGCCGCAAGGCUAAAACUCAAAGGAAUUGACGGGGACCCGCACAAGCGGUGGAUGAUGUGGAUUAAUUCGAUGCAACGCGAAAAACCUUACCUACCCUUGACAUGUCAGGAAUCCUGGAGAGAUCUGGGAGUGCCCGAAAGGGAGCCUGAACACAGGUGCUGCACGGUCGUCGACAGCU
rnacentral:rRNA from 1 species